AUGGCGAGGAGAUCUACUGAUAGACCCUUCUUGAUGGCAAGGAAGAUUGCAGUACAUGGCCAAAUGAAUCGCAGUAAGUCGACUCAGACCAGCCACCUCCCUUGUGCUAAUGCUUUUUUCUGCACCCUCGGCGAGCAAUUUGCGGCCACCAAUGGGAAGAAUAGAGGGAAAAUGAGGAAGGAAACCAAGAAGGUCAAUGUAAGAUCAGCCUUCAUCAUUGAUAAUAGCACCCAUCGCGAUGAGUCUAUAUACAGAAACUCUUUUCUCCAAAAAAUAUGUGGUGUUACAAAUCGUGAUGAGACACAACUGGAGCCAAUGAUGUUAUCGGAUCCCAUUGAUUGUUUUCCUGACCGGGAAAGAUGUGCUGUGCAUUAUGUAUGCAACAUGAUGCAAAUAUUUUCGUUGAAGUUGGCUAAAGUUCCUGUGAUCACAAGCUCGGUACAACUAUAUGGAUAUAUAGCUGUGCGAGAUUGUCUGGAUUCAUUGCUAAAUUAUAUUUUCAAUCGUAGCAGGGACGAUCCCAUUACGGUUCAGCAGGGUUCUCUCAUUGAGAUGACUGGCCCUAAGAGGGGAAUCACAAUGACCUCUCCUGUUCUAGUUGAGUUUGACAUGAGGAUCAGGAAAGGAGAGCAAGAAGAAGAUGAUCUACAAUUAAUUGACGGUGCAAUAGACUGCGAACUAACCACACCUUCCCGUCCAUCCACUAACCGCAUUAAUGGCGAUUGUGGAGCAGUUGACAUCACUCUAGCCCGCGUUCCCGGUGCAGUGGAGGCCACUAUAGAUGUUGUUAUAUCAAAAGUGCAGAGUGGAUUCAAUUUAUCUCUGAGUUCGUUUGUGUUUGCCGGCGGGUCACAUCAGGGAAUCGAACUCUUUUGUGGGAUUAUCGGCGAGCCAUGUGGCUUAACAAGAAGAUAUGUGAUUGCUGUAGAGAUGGGUAGCUGGAUGUAUUUGAAGUUCAAUGUAGGUCAGAAAGGCUCUGAUAUGAUGAUGAUCUGGAACGUUAUUGCCGCUUCAAAGCAGCCAUCCAUGGAUGUGCCUGUCGACAGAUAA
rnacentral:rRNA from 1 species